UACGAUGGAUAGCCGGCCUAAGAGGGUGAUCGGCCACAUUGGGACUGAGAUACGGCCCAGACUCCUACGGGAGGCAGCAGUAGGGAAUUUUGCGCAAUGGACGAAAGUCUGACGCAGCAACGCCGCGUGAGGGAUGACGGCCUUCGGGUUGUAAACCUCUGUUGAGUGGGAAGAAAAGCUUUGUGGUUAAUAUCCACAGAGUCUGACGGUACCACUCGAGGAAGCUCCGGCUAACUACGUGCCAGCAGCCGCGGUAAUACGUAGGGGGCUAGCGUUGUUCGGAAUCACUGGGCGUAAAGGGAGUGUAGGCGGACCGGUAAGUUAGGAGUUAAAUGUACGGGCUCAACCCGUGAUCUGCUUUUAAUACUGUCGGUCUUGAGUAUGGGAGAGGGAGAUGGAAUUCCAGGUGUAGCGGUGGAAUGCGUAGAUAUCUGGAAGAACACCAGUUGCGAAGGCGGUCUCCUGGACCAAUACUGAUGCUGAUGCUCGAAAGCUGGGGGAGCGAACAGGAUUAGAUACCCUGGUAGUCCCAGCCGUAAACGAUGGACACUAGUUGCCGGAGGAGUCAAUCCCUUCGGUGACGAAGCUAACGCAUUAAGUGUCCCGCCUGGGGAGUACGCUCGCAAGGGUGAAACUCAAAGGAAUUGACGGGGGCCCGCACAAGCGGUGGAGCAUGUGCUUUAAUUCGAUGCAACGCGAAGAACCUUACCUGGGUUUGACAUGGGGGUGAAAGUUUCCAGAGAUGGAAGCCUUUCCUUCGGGAACACCCCACACAGGUGCUGCAUGGUUGUCGUCAGCUCGUGUCGUGAGAUGUUGGGUUAAGUCCCGCAACGAGCGCAACCCCUGCCCUUAGUUGCCAUCAGGUAAAGCUGGGAACUCUAAGGGGACAGCUUGGUAUAACCAGGAGGAAGGUGGGGAUGACGUCAAAUCAUCAUGGCUCUUACGCCCAGGGCUAGACACGUGCU
rnacentral:rRNA from 1 species